rnacentral:rRNA from 1 species
UACGGAGGGUGCAAGCGUUAUCCGGAUUCACUGGGGUUAAAGGGUGCGUAGGUGGGCAGGUAAGUCAGUGGUGAAAUCUCCGGGUUUAACCCGGAAACUGCCGUUGAUACUAUUUGUCUUGAAUAUUGUGGAGGUAAGCGGAAUAUGUCAUGUAGCGGUGAAAUGCUUAGAUAUGACAUAGAACACCAAUUGCGAAGGCAGCUUACUACGCAAUGAUUGACACUGAGGCACGAAAGCGUGGGGAUCAAACAGG